rnacentral:rRNA from 1 species
GGGUGCAGUUUCGGAUAUUGGGCGUAAGAGCUCGUAGGCGGUUUGUCGCGUCUGUCGUGAAAGUCCGGGGCUUAACCCCGGAUCUGCGGUGGGUACGGGCAGACUAGAGUGCAGUAGGGGAGACUGGAAUUCCUGGUGUAGCGGUGGAAUGCGCAGAUAUCAGGAGGAACACCGAUGGCGAAGGCAGGUCUCUGGGCUGUAACUGACGCUGAGGAGCGAAAGCAUGGGGAGCGAACAGGAUUAGAUACCCUGGUAGUCCAUGCCGUAAACGUUGGGCACUAGGUGUGGGGACCAUUCCACGGUUUCCGCGCCGCAGCUAACGCAUUAAGUGCCCCGCCUGGGGAGUACGGCCGCAAGGCUAAAACUCAAAGGAAUUGACGGGGGCCCGCACAAGCGGCGGAGCAUGCGGAUUAAUUCGAUGCAACGCGAAGAACCUUACCAAGGCUUGACAUGUUCUCGAUCGCCGUAGAGAUACGGUUUCCCCUUUGGGGCGGGUUCACAGGUGGUGCAUGGUUGUCGUCAGCUCGUGUCGUGAGAUGUUGGGUUAAGUCCCGCAACGAGCGCAACCCUCGUUCCAUGUUGCCAGCACGUCGUGGUGGGGACUCAUGGGAGACUGCCGGGGUCAACUCGGAGGAAGGUGAGGACGACGUCAAAUCAUCAUGCCCCUUAUGUCUUGGGCUUCACGCAUGCUACAAUGGCCGGUACAAUGGGUUGCGAUACUGUGAGGUGGAGCUAAUCCCAAAAAGCCGGUCUCAGUUCGGAUUGGGGUCUGCAACUCGACCCCAUGAAGUCGGAGUCGCUAGUAAUCGCAGAUCAGCAACGCUGCGGUGAAUACGUUCCCGGGCCUUGUACACACCGCCCGUCAAGUCACGAAAGUUGGUAACACCCGAAGCCGGUGGCCUAACCCUUGUGGGGGGAACCCUCCAAAGGUGGAACCGCAAUUGGAUAUAAAAAAAACCC